GACGAACGCUGGCGGCGUGCUUAACACAUGCAAGUCGAACGGAAAGGCCCUGCUUUUGUGGGGUGCUCGAUUGGCGAACGGGUGAGUAACACGUGAGUAACCUGCCCUUGACUUUGGGAUAACUUCAGGAAACUGGGGCUAAUACCGGAUAGGAGCUCCUGCUGCAUGGUGGGGGUUGGAAAGUUUCGGCGGUAGGGGAUGGACUCGCGGCUUAUCAGCUUGUUGGUGGGGUAGUGGCUUACCAAGGCUUUGACGGGUAGCCGGCCUGAGAGGGUGACCGGGGACAUUGGGCCUGAGAUACGGCCCAGACUCGUACGGGAGGCAGCAGUGGGGAAUAUUGCACAGUGGGCGGAAGCCUGAUGCGGCAACGCCGCGUGCGGGAUGACGGCCUUCGGGUUGUAAACCGCUGUCGCCUGUGACGAAGCGUGAGUGACGGUAAUGGGUAAAGAAGCACCGGCUAACUACGUG
rnacentral:rRNA from 1 species